UGUAUGCAUAAUAAACAGUCAAAUUACCACUAUAGACUUUUGACAAUUCUGAGAAGAAGUUUCUUCGCUUGGAUCUUUGAUUUGGUCAUUGUUUUUUGGUCUUCUUGGCAUUAUCCUGUCCGAAGGAGGCAUAACAACAACAUCACUAUGUGUUUCUCAAAGUUCCAUGCCAUUCACAGAAAACAGAAGCGAACGACAUAAUAUGGCAGCAAGGAAUCUCACUCACAUCAUACUCCCUCCAAGUGCAAGAAAUCUUACCUCGAACAUGAACCACAUACUUAUUUUUUCCAUGAUCCACCUCAUAAAUGUAUCUUCCAUUUGUAAAUGGAUGACACUACUUCAAACUCUUUUUCCGCUUUUCCAUAAUAGCAGCUGCCUUGGGUGUGAUCUUCCCUGUAACAUUCUGCGUCUCCUUGAUCUUAACCAGAUUACUAGCCAUUAUAUGUCGUCUUAUAUAUUCUAGCAAUGCAACCACUGUUUUUUCUCGAGAAUCUUUCAAAACAGCAUUAUAUGAUUCACUAA